rnacentral:rRNA from 11 species
GCCUGUUGAUUGAUCUACUCUAAACACCAGUUCCUGUCUGAUCUUGGAAACUAAGCAAGGUCAAAGCUUGAUUAGUAAUUGGAUGGGAGACUGCCAGUGAAUGCCAGAUGCUGUAGGCU